GUGCUCGCAUUGGCAGCACAUAUACUAAAAUUGGAAUGAUGCAGAGAAGAUUAUUAGCAUGGCCUCUGCUCAAGGAUGACAUGCAAAUUUGUGAAGCAUUCCAUAUGUUU